UACGAAGGGGGCUAGCGUUGUUCGGAAUCACUGGGCGUAAAGCGCACGUAGGCGGAUCGUUAAGUCAGGGGUGAAAUCCUGGAGCUCAACUCCAGAACUGCCUUUGAUACUGGGGAUCUCGAGUCCGGAAGAGGUGAGUGGAACUCCGAGUGUAGAGGUGAAAUUCGUAGAUAUUCGGAAGAACACCAGUGGCGAAGGCGGCUCACUGGUCCGGUACUGACGCUGAGGUGCGAAAGCGUGGGGAGCAAACAGG
rnacentral:rRNA from 1 species